UAGUCCACGCCGUAAACGAUGAUCACUCGAUGCUGGCGAUACAAUGUCAGUGUCCGAGCGAAAGUAUUAAGUGAUCCACCUGGGGAGUACGAUCGCAAGGUUGAAACUCAAAGGAAUUGACGGGGGGCCCGCACAAGCGGUGGAGCAUGUGGUUUAAUUCGAUGAUACGCGAGGAACCUUACCAAGGCUUAAAUGUAGAAUGACCGUUCUGGAAACAGGACUUUCUUCGGACAAUUUACAAGGUGCUGCAUGGUUGUCGUCAGCUCGUGCCGUGAGGUGUCGGGUUAAGUCCCAUAACGAGCGCAACCCCUAUCUUCAGUUGCCAGCGAGUAAAGUCGGGGACUCUGGAGAAACUGCCCGUGCAAACGGAGAGGAAGGUGGGGAU
rnacentral:rRNA from 1 species